UGACUCUGUGAGCAUCUCCAACGCACAGGUGCAGACACCCUGGAGAGAGACCCUGGAUGGAGUGCUGACUUUAUGGCAACUCUGCUUAAUGUUCCAAGACAGUUACACCCUGUUUUCUAGAGCAGUACUUUUAUGGUUACAAGAGCAUAUUGCACAUUCGAAGGAUGCAGUCCAUGAAACUCUGCACUUGAAGACAGGGGCAGAAGACGACACUUCCAUGAGCAGAAGACACAUACUCAUCUUUACCUUCACAUGGACACAUAGCCUUUCAUAAUGCUUUCUCCUGCGGCAGUGGCUCUCAAUCUCCCUUAAUACAGUCCCUCAUGUUGUGGUGACCCCUAGUCAUAAAAUUAUUUCAUUGCUAUUCUGUAACAGUAAUUUUGCUACUGUUAUAAAUUGGUAAUUUAAAUAUCUGACAUGCAGGAUGUCUGAUAUGCAACACAAAGGGGUCAUAACCCAUAGUUUGAGACCCUCUGGCCUAGGGGAUGAAAAUAACUAUAAAAAUGGGCUGUCUACAAGAUUUAUAUUCUGGAAUUGCUGGCUUUUGUAGGAGGAAAGAGAGGGAGAGUGAAUGAAUGAGUCUUCACACACUGAUCACAUUAGAAAUAGAACACAGGCUGUAUACUCGGAAGCCUGGUUUCCUUGCCUUUUCAAGCAGAGCCUAAUAGAUGCUGGGACCCUGAGCUCUUACCAUGAACAUUGAGGUUAAAGUAUUUCUUGGCACUCCCAGCAGUGUUCUCCGCGACACACACAUACCUUCCAGUAUCUGUUAUUUGCGCAUUUAGAAUCUAAAGGAAAAUGAAGACAUAGCAACUGAAAUUGUUAAUAAAGGAACUUGUAAUAUUUUACCUUUUAGAACAAACAAGACACAGUAAGUGCCAGAUGAGCAUAAAGGCACGAGGCUGCUGUACACUCCAGCAAUGGGGCUGCUUUCCCUUCCAUAGGUCAAGCACACACACAUCCACAUAUGCAUCUACAGCUCUACAUAUAAAAACAUUUAGGCAUUUUGGUGCAGGCUGUAUGGUCAUCAAGUAGGUAUAUUCAAAUGUUGAUAAUGCGUUUAAAAAAUUCAAGUUUAUAAGCAGUGAUCUUUGCUGGUAAUUUAAUUACACUCUAUCCUAGCAAAAGAUCUGAUAUAUGUCUAUACAUCCCAACUUUCUUUAAGGACAUUUGAAUGGAAACAAAUGGACAUAUCAAUUGACAAAUAGCAGUACAGUAUAUUUACAUGGGUCAAAUGAUGACUUCUUACUGCCUGUACCAACACAGAAUGGACUUAAUUUUUAUGAAACUUUUACCACUUAGAAUGUUAUCAUCACAUAUAUGCAAUGCAUAGUUUUUUUUAAAUCAAAGAUUAUGGUGUUAAACUUAGGUGUGUUUGUAUGUAUAGAUAUUCUGGAAGAAUUUACACAAAAAUGUCACUGUGGUCAUUUCUAAUUGUAGGAACAGAGUAGAGAAUAAUAUUGUAUGGUUGAUAGUUAAUGAUCUGAAUAAAUAUGUUCAUAAACUAAUAUUUUCAUCAAUCUAGAAGACAAUUAUCAUGAUGUCCAAGACGCUGCUUUAAAAUUAGAUUUUUUCCCCUUUUACCUGAAGAAUUCUGCCAUCGGAUAGGAACUUAUGAUGUUCAUCUUCUAACAAGGUCUGUCCAUCUUUUUGCCAGUAAUUCUUUGGUGCUGGGCUACCACUGGAUGAACAUUCCAUCUGUGCACUCUUGUUCACUAGCACGGUGACCUCUUCUGGCAGAUCACUGUUUGCUCCCUUGAUAACUGGUGGCACUAAGGAACAGUUGUGACAGAGAGAUUCUGAUGGGCAACAAUGGCUUUAGUAAGGCAUGUUACACCAUGUUGUCAUCAGGACAACCCAGAUGGAUUACAGCUCUUAGAGUGUAUCCGUGAUGUUAACUGUUAGUCUCUGUAAGGGAAUAACCUGGGCUAUUCUAAGCUCCCAGCCUCAGCAUCAGUGGAACAGGCAACGCAUCACUGGAAGCUUGGUUAGACAUCAUAUUCAUGAACCUGACAUACACUUCCUCCAUAACCAUCUCUGAGAAGGACCAAGGAAUGGAUGGUUGAAAAAGCUCUGCAGAUGUUACUCAAGCACAUUGAAGCCUGACAGGUUUUGUGUCUUUCUACUCCAAGAGCUCCUCUUCUCCCUCAAAGGCUUGGUAGCUUUAGUUGCUUGCUCCAUUACUUUGAUUUACACCCUUGGCCCUUACACUACCAAUUCCCCCACCCUGCCUUCUCCAUUCAUUCUUCACACUGUAACGGGAUACUUUGUAUCUUGUCUGUGGGUAAGCUCAAAUCCCUAACAUUUGUUCUUGUCAGCCAGCUCCAUUCUACCUCCCCCCCACCCCCCCAGACAAGGUUUCUCUGUGUAGCCCUGGCUGUCCUGGAACUCACUCUGUAGACCAGGCUGGCCUUGAACUCAGUAAUUUUCCUGCCAAGUAAUUUCCUCAGUAAUUUUGCCUCCCAAGUGCUGGGAUUAAAGGUGUGCACCACCACUGCUCGGCAUCCAUUCUACCUCUUGUCUCUACUUUAUUUCAUUACGUCUAAACAAUGCUCAAAAAUGAUCCUUGUUCUGUGGUUUCGAAGUGAAUCAUACAACCUACACCCACAGACUUAAAGUCUCAAAGCCAAACGCUUUUUAUUUUCUGAAACCCAUUUUCAUGCUCAGCACUGAAAACACAUUAGUUGGCAAUUUUUCUAUUAACUGGAAUACAGGCAUAAUCAUUUACUGGGUUCCCUCAUUCCUUGACUGUCUCUUAUUCUAUUUUCUUUCUUUUAUCUACCAGUGGUUCCCUAUGGUUUUCUUUGGAAAUCUUGUCUUUUAAUAUCACUUGUCUGGGGGCAGCUGUUGGAUGUACAGUGUGGGUUUAGUCCUUUGUCCUUUGGGAUGGUUCCUUGAUUCUAAGUGCCCAGUCAGCAUUUUACAUGACCAUUCUGGGAUCAUGUUAGAUUUAUCAUAGCAGAACCACCAUUGCCAUCUUUCCCUUCAAUCUUGCUUUUCCAGGAACUCUACUUUUAUUGACCUUGUUAUAAUUUUCUUAAUCACCUGGCACCAUUGGUUUUACAUAUUUAUAUAUAACUGAGGCAUAGCUAGGAAGGGGGAUUCUCAUCAGACUGGAAUGUAGGCAAGACUAUGGGGACAUGUUCUUGAUGUGGGAACACUCAGCUUACUGUGAGAGGUGGCAUCCCUAUGCAGACGGUCCUGGGUUGUGUAAAAAAGCAAGGUUGACCAAGCCAUAAGGAACAAUCCAGUAAACUGAAAUCUUGAAAGGAAGGCUCCUGAUUCAGUUCCUGUCUCCUGGUUCCUGCCUUGAGCUUCUGCCUUAGCUUCAGUUAAUAGCCUGUGCAUUGGGAUAGGUAAGUGGAAUAAACCCUUUCCUCCUUAGGUGGUUUUUGGCCAUUUUUUUUUUUUAAAAUCACAAUAGAAAGCAAACCAGAAUAGACUGGUUCCUAUAUAUCCUCAUGGCCAUUCCCUAGCUUAGCCUCCUCCAAUACAUAAACUCCUGUUUCUAAUAACUAUUUGUUUUAAGGGUCAUAAUACGUCUUCCACUUGAUGUCCAAGUAUCAGAUGGGAAUGAUUCUGCUUCAAGAGCAGGCAUAAGAAUGUGGUCUCUUCACUAGAAUGCUUUAUCACUAGAAUGUGUCUGUGGUAGACUCAAAGAUGCAUAGGGGAUUCAUAUGAAGAACAGUCAAUUCUAGGACUUCACUUACAAAUAUUAGACAAGAAAACUUUCAUUCAAUAUGAAACCGGGAACAAGUGAAUCUAGAGCUGCUAAAGUCAACCCUGCUGCCCAAGGAAACCACCUGCCUGACAGACACGUUAACAAUAAUAAUGAAAAAAAGUCAAGAGAAAUAGAAGGAUAAAAUCUGGAUAGCUUUCACCUCUUUUGAGCCAAGGAAGUCAGAAAUGACUGGUUGCGGAUUAUUCUACUCUACGACUUUACCAAAUUCGUGAAUCAAUAAUCUACAUUCUCUCUCCCUUCCUCCCUCUCUCUUCCUCCUUCCCUACCUCUAGCCUUCCUUUCUUCCUCCCUCCAAUCUUGUUAUUUGAGACCUUAGAAAUCCUGAUUAAUGCAGUCUCAGUUUGCACACAAGGCAGUAGUAUUUAGAAGUAUCAUUAUCUAUUACCUUUAUAGCUUCUAAAGUGUUUGGGUGACAUCCUGUAAACAUUAGUCAUUGGAAAGUAUUUCAGAUUGAAAAAUGCUUAAUCAACAAAAGAGAGCAAACUUACAGAGCACAUGGACGUCAUACUGAAGGGAGUCUUCUCCAGCUUCAUUCACAGCCACACAUGUGUAUCUCCCGGCAUCUUCUACCUUAGCCCGGGGAAUCUGCAGCACCCGUCCGCCUGGAAAUAUAUAUCCUCGUAUGUUAGGGUGAACACAGAUCAUAAACAGAGCUCUAGAUCUAAUGACAAACAUUUAUUUAUGUUUUUGUCGAUUUUCCCACUUUCUUUAAUCAUUCUAGUUUUAUCAUGGACAAUAUCCAUCUUCAGAGCCAAUAUUACAUUGCUAACAAGUGACCUGAUACUGUACUAUAAGUCAGAAUUUUUGAGAAAGAAAUCGCUGGUGUCAGUCUUUCUAGAGGGGAGAAGGCUGCUCUAAGCCCCUAUGCUCCAGGUAGAAUGUUACUGUAUGGUGAAGCUUUGCUCUUGCUGGUUUUGAACUUUUGUCAUUGAUAUUUUCAAUGUGUCCUAUAAAACCUCAUUUAAACACACAUAACCAGGGCUCUAAAGACUAAAGUGUACUUUAGAUUUUAGGUGGUAUUCAAGAGUUCAUGUGCAAUACCAGAAAAAAGAAGCUCUUAUGUACUUGUAAACAUUUCAAUGUUGAUAAUAAAAUUUAAAGAAAGGACAUUACAGUCACAUUAAAAUUUGCACCUAUGUUCACC
ensembl:antisense